GCCAGGCGUGGUGGUGCACACCUGUAGUCCCAGCUACUCGGGAGGCUGAGGCAGGAGAAUUGCUUGAACCCAGGAGGUGGAGGUUGCAGUGAGCUGAGAUAGUGCCACUGCACUCCAGCCUGGGCGACAGAGCAAGACUCUGUCUCAA
ensembl:misc_RNA Metazoa_SRP Metazoan signal recognition particle RNA